rnacentral:rRNA from 1 species
UACGUAGGGACCAAGCGUUGUUCGGAUUUACUGGGCGUAAAGGGCGCGUAGGCGGCAUGACAAGUCACUUGUGAAAUCUCUGGGCUUAACCCAGAACGGCCAAGUGAUACUGUCGCGCUAGAGUGCGGAAGGGGCAAUCGGAAUUCUCGGUGUAGCGGUGAAAUGCGUAGAUAUCCGGAGGAACACCGGUGGCGAAGGCGGCUUCCUGGACCGACACUGACGCUGAGGCGCGAAAGCUAGGGGAGCAAACGGG